AUUGAACGCUGGCGGCAUGCUUUACACAUGCAAGUCGAGCGGCAGCGCGGGGGCAACCCUGGCGGCGAGCGGCGAACGGGUGAGGAAUACAUCGGAACGUGCCCCGGAGUGGGGGAUAACGCCGCGAAAGCGGCGCUAAUACCGCAUAUGCUCUGAGGAGGAAAGCGGGGGACCUGUGAGGGCCUCGCGCUCUGGGAGCGGCCGAUGUCCGAUUAGCUAGUUGGUGGGGUAAAGGCCCACCAAGGCGACGAUCGGUAGCUGGUCUGAGAGGAUGAUCAGCCACACUGGGACUGAGACACGGCCCAGACUCCUACGGGAGGCAGCAGUGGGGAAUUUUGGAAAAUGGGGGCAACCCUGAUCCAGCCAUGCCGCGUGCGGGAAGAAGGCCUUCGGGUUGUAAACCGCUUUUAGCCGGGAAGAAAAGGCGAGGGAUAACACCCUUCGUUCUUGACGGUACCGGCGGAAUAAGCACCGGCUAACUACGUGCCAGCAGCCGCAGUAAAAC
rnacentral:rRNA from 1 species